UACAGAGGGUGCGAGCGUUGUCCGGAAUCACUGGGCGUAAAGGGCGCGUAGGCGGCUUCUCAAGCGUGCGGUGAAAGCUCGGGGCUUAACUCCGAGUCUGCCGUGCGAACUGGGAGGCUUGAGUCUGGUAGAGGUCGAUGGAAUUCCGGGUGUAGCGGUGGAAUGCGUAGAGAUCCGGAAGAACACCGGUGGCGAAGGCGAUCGACUGGGCCAGAACUGACGCUGAGGCGCGACAGCGUGGGGAGCAAACAGG
rnacentral:rRNA from 1 species